rnacentral:lncRNA from 1 species
UCAAAUCUUCAAAUCUAUAUUAUCUAAUCUCUAGUCUCUGUGCUGGACUUCGAUACAGUGAAGUCAAAAGAUCUUAUUAUUUAUAUCUAAGGUUCUUAAUGUGAAAAGACCUUUCUAUUUCCUUUUAAUUUAAUCUUAUUUAUUUCUUUAUUUUAAAAUUCUUAUUUUACCCCUAAUAUUAAGUUUAGGGUGUUACAUUAAUAUUGGUAUUAAUGGGGACCUACAAUGUUCUGUAGAGACAGGUGAUGUAGAUGUGGGGAGUCCGGUCACUGUUAAAUGAGUCCAUAGACUCGUUUAUCCAUUUAAUUGUAAGGGAUGGAUGUGUUCCCUCAAAUGCCUUGGAAAACAAAAGGAAAUGUGUUCAUUGACACUGUUGAGAUGCUUAAAGUUGUUUACAUUACAUGUAUGUAUAAUGCUCAACAAAUGACAUGAAGUUUAAACUCUAGAUGUGCAACUCUUUACAAAUGAGCUGUCUGAUGGUCUUCUCUUAUCUACAAAUUAUUGAUAUUUUCAUGAUGGGGCUGAUCAUGAAUUUUGUGCAGGGUCGUGUAGUACCUCUGAUGGCAUGCAUAUUUCUAUUAAUAAUCCUGUGGCUUUCUGUUGCCUCAACCCACAUUUAUCGUGUCCAUAUGCGUCGUGCCCAUCCAAAAGUUCACACUGAUUUCCCUCCAGAAUUUCACAUCGAUUGGCAUGCAAUCCGACACCUGUGGUAGUACUAGUUGCCUGUCAACCUAAGAUAUGUAUAGAACUAGUUCAGUGGUUACUGUUUGUAAGUUUGUAUAUAUUCAUGUAUUGGUUGUUCUAUAACUGAUGACUUUCAUCUUACUGAAAAAGCAUCGUGUAUGACUGUCUGUAUCCAAACAUGCAAAGUGUCUUUAAGACAAUAUUAUUUAGCCCUUAACUUUGUCUAUAUAAGAAAAGUCUAGUAUUUAUUUUAUAGGCAGAAUACAACAAACUUGUUCCAAAGCAUGAAGAUUGUUGGAUAGUUUAUCUGUGUGUUGUCUACGCUUCCAGUGCUUGAACUUUUCCUCCUGGAUUUUUGGGCUUCAUGGUCUAGAUCUCAUUCACUUGGAGUUGAUGAUUCAAUAAUUAUUCAGAUUCAAGUAUUCAAAUUACUACUUGUAAAAUGUGAAAAGUGAUCAAUGGCUUUAAAGGUAAAGUUUCUCAGCUACUGUAAGGUUGAUUAGGUAUGAUGUUUUCAUUAACUCUUCUGAUUAUGCAUUGAGGGUUUUUUUUUUUUUUUUUUUUUUUAGUUGUAGCAGGUGGUAUGUGAUAGGAGUUUUUUUAGAUAUAUCUAGUAAAUGCUUGAAUGCAUGGUGACUAUUUGGAUAUAUCUAGGUAUGUGAUAGGUGUUGGCCCCUUGAACAUAGGGGAUUUGAGGGGGUGACUUCAUGAUGAUAAUUUUUUUUUUUUUUAAAAAAAAGAAAAAAAUGGAUUUAGGGUGGAAAAUUUUUCAUGGGUAGGGUUGUUUAGUUUUGGAGCUUAGGGCAUGAGCAAUGUGUUCAAUUGAAGCAUUCUAUUUCAAAUCAUAUUCAAGAGAGAUGAGUAAAAACCAGGAUUUAUAGUGUGGGAAUGGUGNNNNNNNNNNNNNNNNNNNNNNNNNNNNNNNNNNNNNNNNNNNNNNNNNNNNNNNNNNNNNNNNNNNNNNNNNNNNNNNNNNNNNNNNNNNNNNNNNNNNAUCUAGGGUUCUUAAUGUGAAAAGACCUUUCUAUUUCCUUUUAAUUUAAUCAUAUUUAUUUCUUUAUUUUAAAAUUCUUAUUUUACCCCUAGUGUUAAGUUUAGGGUGUUGCAUUAAUAUUGGUAUUAAGGACCUACAAUGUUCUGUAGAGACAGGUGAUGCAGAUGUGGGGAGUCAGGUCACUGUUACAUGAGUCCAUAGACUCGUUUAUCCAUUUAAUUGUAAGGGAUGGAUGUGUUCCCUCAAAUGCCUUGGAAAACAAAAGGAAAUGUGUUCAUUGACAGUUGAGAUGCUUAAAGUUGUUUACAUUACAUGUAUGUAUAAUGCUCAACAAAUGACAUGAAGUUUAAACUCUAGAUGUGCAACUCUUUACAAAUGAGCUGUCUGAUGGUCUUCUCUUAUCUACAAAUUAUUGAUAUUUUCAUGAUGGGGCUGAUCAUGAAUUUUGUGCAGGGUCGUGUAGUACCUCUGAUGGCAUGCAUAUUUCUAUUAAUAAUCCUGUGGCUUUCUGUUGCCUCAACCUGCAUUUAUCGUAUCCAUAUGCGUCGUGCCCAUCCAAAAGCUCACACUGAUUUCCCUCCAGAAUUUCACAUCGAUUGGCAUGCAAUCCGACACCUGUGGUAGUUCUAGUUGCCUGUCAAC